rnacentral:ncRNA from 1 species
GUGUUGUAUGAAAGGAGAGACGGUUAGCACUCCCCUAGACAAGGAUGGAAAAACACAUAUAUUGCUUAAGGCACACUUAAGCAACAUUUUUUU